AAAAUUUUAUUGUUGAAAAUAUAACAUGUGAUGUCUUGAGUCAUGAAAUAUGAAAUAAUGACCCAUACUAUAUAGAAGUCAUUAAGAGGCCACUUUUCUCCUUUCAAAAAAAGGUUUCAUGCUUAACCAUUUCUACUUCAACCUUUUUGUUUGUUGAUCCAAACAACCUAUCAUGCCUAUCGUCCUGGUCUACCUAGGAGAUUGCAUGCAUAAAUGUUUCAGUUAAUGCAAAUUUCAUGUGCUUCAUGUCUUGGAAACCUUCCAAAUAAAUUACCAACGAUACAAUUCAC
rnacentral:lncRNA from 1 species